GAUGAACGCUGGCGGCGUGCCUAAUACAUGCAAGUCGAGCGAACGGACGAGAAGUUUGCUUCUCUGAUGUUAGCGGCGGACGGGUGAGUAACACGUGGAUAACCUACCUAUAAGACUGGGAUAACUUCGGGAAACCGGAGCUAAUACCGGAUGAUAUUUUGAACCGCAUGGUUCAAAAGUGAAAGACGGUCUUGCUGUCACUUAUAGAUGGAUCCGCGCUGCAUUAGCUAGUUGGUAAGGUAACGGCUUACCAAGGCAACGAUGCAUAGCCGACCUGAGAGGGUGAUCGGCCACACUGGAACUGAGACACGGUCCAGACUCCUACGGGAGGCAGCAGUAGGGAAUCUUCCGCAAUGGGCGAAAGCCUGACGGAGCAACGCCGCGUGAGUGAUGAAGGUCUUCGGAUCGUAAAACUCUGUUAUUAGGGAAGAACAUAUGUGUAAGUAACUGUGCACAUCUUGACGGUACCUAAUCAGAAAGCCACGGCUAACUACGU
rnacentral:rRNA from 1 species